rfam:Brassica napus, WGS project CCCW01000000 data, contig: 1054
GGAAUAUAAUAAACCGUCUCUUAACUUAUAACUAAAAAAACCAAGAACCGGCUCUUAAAUAAGAUCCGGUUCUUAGCUUUUUUUAGUUAAAAGUUAAGAGACGGUUUAUUAUAUUUG